rnacentral:misc_RNA from 1 species
GAACUGCGAUAAGUAAUGUGAAUUGCAGAAUUCAGUGAAUCAUCGAGUCUUUGAACGCACAUUGCGCCCCCUGGCAUUCCGGGGGGCAUGCCUGUCCGAGCGUCAUUGCUGCCCUUCAAGCCCGGCUUGUGUGUUGGGUCGUCGUCCCCUCCGGGGGACGGGCCCGAAAGGCAGCGGCGGUACCGCGUCCGGUCCUCGAGCGUAUGGGGCUUUGUCACCCGCUCGAUAAGGACCGGCCGGGCGCCAGCCGGCGUCUCCAACCUUUUUUUCUCAGGUUGACCUCGGAUCAGGUAGGGAUACCCGCUGAACUUAAGC